rnacentral:rRNA from 1 species
UACGUUCCCGGGUCUUGUACACACCGCCCGUCACACCAUGGGAGCGGGUUUUACCAGAAGUAGGUAGCUUAACCGCAAGGGGGGCGCUUACCACGGUAGGAUUCGUGACUGGGGUG